UAUCUGACUUCCGGCUUCUCGCGGAUCAUAACCUUUCCUAGAGAGUCUGAGUUGCCUCGGAUAAUGAAGUUUCCAAAAUUUCCGUUUGGUGUUCCCCGAUGAAAAUGCUUGUUCACCAAGAGUCAGAGCCUAGAUACAGAAAGAAGUAUGAAGAGAAAUACUGUGUCUAAAAAAUAAAUGAGUGAAGUCAAGUGCAAUUUACGUAAAAUACUAUGAUGAAGGGACUGAGAUAGAGAAGAAUUAAACAACAACAACAACAAAACUUGUGCAGGAUUACAAUCCUGGAAUUUGAACACAAGUGGUAUGGUUCCAGUGUCUCUACUAUCAACCACUGUUCUAGAAUGCUGCUAAGUAAGAUGAUUGGAGCAGCCAUAUUUAAUUUUCAGACACCUUGGAUGAGC